CCUACGGGUGGCAGCAGUGAGGAAUAUUGGUCAAUGGGCGGAAGCCUGAACCAGCCAAGUAGCGUGCAGGAUGACGGCCCUACGGGUUGUAAACUGCUGUUAUACGGGAAUAACGCGCCUUACGUGUAGGGCUUUGCAUGUACCGUAUGAAUAAGGACCGGCUAAUUCCGUGGCAGCAGCCGCGGUAAUACGGAGGGGCCGGGCGUUAUCCGGAUUUAUUGGGUGUAAAGGGAGCGUGGGCCGCAUGUCAAGCGUGCUGUGAAAGGUCCGGGAGCAACCCGGGCCUUGCAGCGCGAACUGGGGUGCGUGAGUCCGCGGAAGGCAGGCGGAAUUCGUGGUGUAGCGGUGAAAUGCGUAGAUAUGACGAAGAACCCUGAUGGCGAAGGCAGCUUGCUGCAGCGUAACUGACGCUGAUGCUCGAAAGCGCGGGUAUCGAACAGGAUUAGAUACCCGAGUAGUC
rnacentral:rRNA from 1 species